rnacentral:misc_RNA from 1 species
AAGUCGUAACAAGGUCUCCGUUGGUGAACCAGCGGAGGGAUCAUUAAAGAGUUCUAUAACUCCCAAACCCAUGUGAACAUACCCUACGUUGCCUCGGCAGGUCGUGCCUACCCCGUAGCGCCCUACCCUGUAGGGCCUACCCGGUAGUUGCGGGUAAGCCUGCCGGCGGCCCACGAAACUCUGUUUAGUAUUGAAUUCUGAACCUAUAACUAAAUAAGUUAAAACUUUCAACAACGGAUCUCUUGGUUCUG